GGAAGCACCAUAGCUCAGUGGCACAGCCUCUGCUUUGCAUGCAGAAGGUUCCAGGUUCAAUUCCCUGCAACUCCA